rnacentral:rRNA from 1 species
UACGUAGGGUGCAGGCGUUAAUCGGAAUUACUGGGCGUAAAGCGUGCGCAGGCGGUUUGCUAAGACAGGUGUGAAAUCCCCGGGCUUAACCUGGGAACUGCGCUUGUUACUGGCAGGCUUGAGUGUGGCAGAGGGGGGUGGAAUUCCACGUGUAGCAGUGAAAUGCGUAGAGAUGCGGAGGAACACCGAUGGCGAAGGCAGCCCCCUGGGCUAGCACUGACGCUCAGGCACGAAAGCGUGGGGAGCGAACAGG